AGAGGGAGUUCAGCAGACAGAUGAAGGAGAAGGAUAGAGAGAUGGAGGAGAAGAAUAGACAGAUGAAGGAGAAGGAUAGAGAGAUGGAGGAGAAGGAUAGAGAGAUGGAGGAGAAGGAUAGAGUGAUUGUGGAAAGGGAUGGAGAUAUAGAGGGACUGAUAGAAAGACUGAGGGAAAUGUGUAAAUGAGUUAUUGUAACUAGCCUGAAGAAGUGCUGGGAUACAUGGAGAGGUAGAAGAAGAGAGAGGAAGAAGAGAGGGAGAACUGAUGAAGAUCUGAGGAAUGUUUGGGCAGAUGGAACCUAGUUCACCAUUUCACUGAAUUGGCCUGACAACGAGGUUAGAGAUGAGAUGACUUUUUCAUGGAGGGAUUGGAGAAGCUAGAGAUAAUAACAUGAUAUUUAUCUGACAAUGUAAGAACAACCUGAUAGUCUGUCCUGUGAUGAGUGUCAUGGUGAGAUAACAGGUCAGAAUACUGAUCCUGUCUAGAACAACCUGAUAGUCUGUCCUGUGAUGAGUGUCAUGGUGGGAAAACAGGUCAGAAUACUGAUCCUGUCUAGAACAACCUGAUAGUCUGUCCUGUGAUGAGUGUCAUGGUGAGAUAACAGGUCAGAAUACUGAUCCUGUCUAGAACAACCUGAUAGUCUGUCCUGUGAUGAGUGUCAUGGUGGGAGAACAGGUCAGAAUACUGAUCCUGUCUAGAACAACCUGAUAGUCUGUCCUGUGAUGAGUGUCAUGGUGGGAGAACAGUUCAGAAUACUGAUCCUGUCUAGGUCAAAAUCUGUACUUCUGCCCCUGAGCAAGGCAGUUAACCGAAUGAUCUCCGGGCGCCGAAGACGCGGAUGUCGAUUAUGCCCCCCCCCCCUUCUAGGGAGGGAGGGAGGGAGGUCUGUAAAGAUAUUGAUGAGAUUUAACACAGAAUUCCAAACCAACGUAGAUUAUUGACCUUUGCACUGCAGCCUUUUAGAAUGGAGAGGGUUGAGGGGGGUCACGAGGUCAGCGGGCGGAGUCAGAGACUGAGAACUCUAAAGAUCUGAGUGAGACUUUUACUCAGUGUUUGAGGAGGUCUACUAUUGAACAGAGAACCAUACUGCAUUUACCACACUCUACUUCCUGUUCUUAUUCAAAUUGUUUCAUGUUGAAACUUUAUGUAGCCUCCGUGAUGGCCGGAUCCGUGGUCUGGGCGGGGGUCACGACCUACACUGGAGGUUUUGCGUCCGGAGUCCGCACCUUUGGGGGGGAUACUGUCAUGCCCUGACCAUAGAGAGCCCAUGUUUCUCUAUGGUGUAGUAGGUCAGGGUGUGACUAGGGGGUAUUCUAGUUUAAAAUGUCUAUGUUGUGUUCUAGUUUAUAUAUUCUAUUUUGGUGUUUUGUAUGGUUCCCAAUUAGAGACAGCUGGUAAUCAUUGUCGCUAAUUGGGGAUCAUGUUUAAAUAACUGUUUUUCUGUUUGUCCUGUCUAGGGUUUUUGUACUGUCUAUGGUUUUUGUCCUGUCUAGGGUUUUUGUCCUGUCUAGGGUUUUUGUCCUGUCUAGGGUUUUUGUACUGUCUAGGGUUUUUGUACUGUCUAGGGUUUUUGUCCUGUCUAGGGUUUUUGUCCUGUCUAGGGUUUUUGUACUGUCUAGGGUUUUUGUACUGUCUAGGGUUUUUGUCCUGUCUAGGGUUUUUGUCCUGUCUAGGGUUUUUGUACUGUCUAGGGUUUUUGUACUGUCUAGGGCUUCUAGGGUUUUUGUCCUGUCUAGGGUUUUUGUCCUGUCUAGGGUUUUUGUCCUGUCUAGGGUUUUUGUACUGUCUAGGGUUUCUAGAGUUUUUGUCCUGUCUAGGGUUUUUGUCCUGUCUGGGGUUUUUGUCCUGUCUAGGGUUUUUGUACUGUCUAGGGGUUUUUGUCCUGUCUAGGGGUUUUUGUCCUGUCUAGGGUUUUUGUCCUGUCUAGGGGUUUUUGUCCUGUCUAGGGUUUUUGUCCUGUCUAUGAUUUUUUGUCCUGUCUAGGGUUUUUGUAUGUUUAUGGGGUUGUGUACUAGUCUAGGUGUUUUGUAUGUCUAUGGUUGCCUAGAUUGGUUCUCAAUUAGAGGCAGCUGUUUAUCGUUGUCUCUGACUGGGAACCAUAUUUAAGAAGCCAUAUUCCGUGGGUAAUCUGUGGGUGAUUGUCUAUGUGAUGUUGCAUGUUUGCACUCAGUGUUGUUAGUGGUCAUGUUGUUGGUUUGUUUAGUGUACUUCGUGUUCAUUCGUCUUACAUUAAAAAUAUAUCUUCACAUCACGCUGUGCUUUGGUCUCCUCACUACGACGAUGGUGACAACAGACCAGACUCCACAUGGUUUCUAACCCCAGACUCUGAAGUGAUUGUACAGACAUGUGGAAUAUAAAUGAGGUCAUUGAGACCGAGACUAAAAGUCAACAUUGUCACUA